CACGUAGUUAGCCGAGGCUUAUUCCUAAGGUACCGUCACUUUCUUCUUCCCUUAGAAAAGAACUUUACAAUCCGAAGACCUUCAUCAUUCACGCGGCGUUGCUGGGUCAGAGUUUCCUCCAUUGCCCAAUAUUCCCCACUGCUGCCUCCCGUAGGAGUUUGGACCGUGUCUCAGUUCCAAUGUGGCCGAUCACCCUCCCAGGUCGGCUACUGAUCGUCGCCUUGGUGAGCCGUUACCUCACCAACUAGCUAAUCAGACGCGAGCUCAUCCAUAUCCGAUAAAUCUUUGAUGGUUCGAAGAUGCCUUCAAACCAUAUUAUGCGGUAUUAUCAGUCGUUUCCAACUGUUAUCCCCCAGAUAUGGGCAGAUUGCUCACGCGUUACUCACCCGUCCGCCAUGUAUUGCUACAUUCGACUUGCAUGUGUUAAGCACGCCGCAGCGUUCAUCCUGAGCCAGGAUCAAACUCU
rnacentral:rRNA from 1 species